UCUUUCUCCGUCCAAAUACAGUGUUUUACUGUAUGCAAUUUUACAUAUUUUUUAUUUGAAGCCAGGAUCUGUCCAAAUGAAUAGAAACUCAGUAUUGUCAAAGAUAAGAUAUACAUGACUGUAUAGAAAGUGAAUUUAGUAAGAAAAUUAAAUUAGCUAUUUUAUUACCGGUACAUUGAUUAUAUAUAAAUCUUCAUACAGUAUCUGACUAAAUUUCUUGACCACCAUUAGGUUUGAACAAAGACAAAAUAAACAUAUCAAUUACAAUGUAGUUUAAUGCUUGUAUGGAUGUACAAGACUACAACUGUUUUAAAUAUGUUAAAUUGAUCUGUAGGCAUGGUAUUUUUCCUAAUUACUGUUUUAAAAUAUAAGGAUUUGCCAAACCUAGUCAUACUUUUUCGUAAUAUGUUGAUACCUAUAAUACAUAUGUUUGUAUGUAGAGAGAAGGAACACAGUUCUACCAAACAACCACCUCAUUGCCAUGACUGCUCAGUGUAUUUCCAGUUGAAUCAGGCAGUUUGAAAUGUUGUUAAAAGAGAAUCUGUUUGUUGGGCUACAUUACAUAUCUCGCUUUUAUUACCACUCAAUGCAAGUGUAUAUGGAUAUUCCACAGCACUAGAAAAUUAUUUUAGAAACCAAUUUUAUGAAUUUAUUAGGUGUAAAGUGUACCCAGUGUAGCAUUAACCUUUUUUCUCCUUUUAUUAGGCAUUACUCAGAGGAAAUAAAAGAUGUCUGGAAAUCAAAUUGAUUUUAAAGCAAGCUUGCAAAUUUAUGCAGUGAACCUGUUGUGAUAAAAUGUGCAUUGAGAUAUCUUUAAAUAGUACCUUUGCUCUAUUAAUAGUUCAGAUAAUAAAGCAUUAGCAUUAAAUCUGUUAAUCCCUGGCCUUUAAUCCUGCCUGACAUCUGGUUAACAUUCCAGGUAGGGUGGGCUCAGCACUGCAUGAUUUAUCCAGGUAUUUAGUUCACCUGUUUAUGUUCAGUUUGAGUUUAGCUUCCGUGAGAUCUAUUAAAUGUUUUACAUUAAAUGUAAGAUCAGGGACAUGCAACUUUGACUUUAAUGGCUCCAGGGUGUACUUAAAGUGCCUGACAUUAAAAGUAAUCUUUUUAUUUAUUUAAAGACUUUCAUUUUAAAUUUCUGAAACACCAUGAACAUAUACAAAGCUUUGAAUAGAAUUGUGUUAAUGAGGAAAUGUGGCCUAAAAAUAAUGGUCCUUUUAUGUGUAAGUUUAUGAUUUUAACAAGUAUUCACAAAAGAACAUAUAUAUUAAUAUGUAUACAUGCCAUUUUUCUGCAUCUAGUAUAGUUUUAUUAAUUUGUUUUUUAACUACCGCAGAAUAAAACUUUAAUCAGAAUGU
rnacentral:misc_RNA from 1 species